GAUGAACGCUGACAGCAUGCUUAACACAUGCAAGUCAACUGUGGCGGACGGGUGAGUAACGCGUAAAGAACUUACCCCACGGAUAGGGACAACAUUUGGAAACGAAUGCUAAUACCUGAUACUGUGAGAGAGCUUUGCGUCCCAUUAGCUAGUUGGCGAGGUAACGGCUCCCCAAGGCGAUGAUGGGUAGCCGGCCUGAGAGGGUGAUCGGCCACAAGGGGACUGAGACACGGCCCUUACUACUACGGGAGGAAGCAGUGGGGAAUAUUGGACAAUGGACCAAAGUCUGAUACAGCAAUUCUGUGUGCACGAUGAAGUUUUCGGAAUGUAAAGUGCUUUAAGUUGGGAAGCGGUACCAACAGAAGAAGUGACGGCUAAAUACGUGCCAGCAGCCGCGGUAAUAC
rnacentral:rRNA from 1 species